CGAGAUGGCGGCAGCUACACAUGCAGUCGAACGGUAACAGGAAGCAGCUUGCUGCUUUGCUGACGAGUGGCGGACGGGUGAGUAAUGUCUGGGAAACUGCCUGAUGGAGGGGGAUAACUACUGGAAACGGUAGCUAAUACCGCAUAACGUCUUCGGACCAAAGAGGGGGACCUUCGGGCCUCUUGCCAUCGGAUGUGCCCAGAUGGGAUUAGCUUGUUGGUGGGGUAACGGCUCACCAAGGCGACGAUCCCUAGCUGGUCUGAGAGGAUGACCAGCCACACUGGAACUGAGACACGGUCCAGACUCCUACGGGAGGCAGCAGUGGGGAAUAUUGCACAAUGGGCGCAAGCCUGAUGCAGCCAUGCCGCGUGUAUGAAGAAGGCCUUCGGGUUGUAAAGUACUUUCAGCGGGGAGGAAGGCGAUGAGGUUAAUAACCUUGUCCAUUGACGUUACCCGCAGAAGAAGCACCGGCUAACUCCGUGCCAGCAGCCGCGGUAAUACGGAGGGUGCAAGCGUUAAUCGGAAUUACUGGGCGUAAAGCGCACGCAGGCGGCGUGUCAAGUCGGAUGUGAAAUCCCCGGGCUCAACCCGGGAACUGCAUUCGAAACUGGCAUGCUAGAGUCUUGUAGAGGGGGGUAGAAUUCCAGGUGUAGCGGUGAAAUGCGUAGAGAUCUGGAGGAAUACCGGUGGCGAAGGCGGCCCCCUGGACAAAGACUGACGCUCAGGUGCGAAAGCGUGGGGAGCAAACAG
rnacentral:rRNA from 1 species